GGUUGUUUCACUUCUAGUGCCACCCUCGGCACCUUCUUCUUCAUCUUCUUGAAGCCCGAGGACAUCUCAGGGCAUCAGGACAAGCUUCUCAAGGGGCCAGUUUGGCUCUAAACUCCUGAGACAUUUUAGUUGUAUGAUAUUCACUGUCUGAAAAAGGAAAGAGAAUAAACUCAUCUGGAGAAUCAAAAUGUGUAAUUCCAGAAGGAUGUCAUGGCAGGAAUCCCCCUAUUCACCAUCUAACAGCCCUGAGGACGUCCUACGCUCUGGCUGGGAGAGGGACACGCAGAGGGAAGGGCGCUCUGCUCCCACAGCAUGUAAGGGAUGCCCAGAUGUGCUGGCACUGCUUGGGGAGGGAAUACGAGUGGAGCAACGCUGACGGCAGCCUUCAUGGAGGAGACGCAGCCCCAGAGAGAAAGAGAGGGAGAGAAGGCCAUGGCGGGGUGAUGGGGACACUCUGACCAUGGCGGCGUCCACCGCACUGGAGAUGCUCCUGCAGUGACGUGUCCGUCCGUCCGUCUGUCAGGGAGGGCUGGCUGACAGCCUGUGCCGUGGAAGCGCUCCUGCCCAUCAGCCACAGGCACCCACUCUGUGGAGAACGACCCUCGGCCUCACCCAGGAACUGGGGUGCCUCCCCCUCGAGCCCCCGCACCCUCCUUCCGUGACCCUUCCAGAGGGUCCUCCGGGACCUGUGGGGGAAAAUGGCGGCUCCAGCAGGUGCAGGAGGCGGGGAGGGGGGUGCCCCUCCCCGGGUGAGGUCCUGGGUGGCGCCUGGCCACUCCCCGCCCCGGGAGCCUAGGCCCAGCACUCACAUGGGCCCCUGUGAUCCCAAGGGGAAGGAGCCACACAUGGCAAGCUCUCCGAGGGGCACCCGGGGCCUGGCCAAGGGGCUCAGAGGCUAUGCAGGGUCUGCAACGAUGGCACCAGUGAGGUCAAAGGGCAGGACUUCUCCAGGGGGCCCCCAACCUAGGGUGAGUAACUGCAAAGCGGAAAGAAACUUCCCCAAACUGCCAGUGAACGCUGCCGCCCGUGGCCUGAGGCUGAGCUGGGGCCCGUCCUCUCCAUCCACGGAGUGGCCCCCGGGCAGAGCGGUGCCAGCCGGGCCUCUGCACUUGACAACCUUCUGCAUCUCGACACACGGCUUUAAAACGCUGGUAAUAUGCUGCCUCUUCUUUCCACAUUCUAAAUGGAUACUCAGAGUCACAGGUCGGUCUGUUGUGGCAAUUUUGUAUAUUUUUCCCAGAGAAAGCACCUCUGAUUGUAUAAGCUCCAGCCCCACAGGCAAGGCCACCUUCUAACUGUCGCCUGGAGGAGGACGCCCCAGGCG
rnacentral:lncRNA from 1 species